CAUGAAGUCGGAAUUGCUAGUAAUCGCAGAUCAGCAUGCUGCGGUGAAUACGUUCCCGGGCCUUGUACACACCGCCCGUCACACCAUGGGAGUCGGUAACACCCGAAGUCGGUAGCCUAACCGUAAGGAGGGCGCCGCCGAAGGUGGGAUUGAUGACUGGGGUGAAGUCGUAACAAGGUAUC
rnacentral:rRNA from 1 species